CAGUCGCCACGGUAACACGUAGGUGGCAAGCGUUGUCCGGAAUUAUUGGGCGUAAAGGGCUCGCAGGCGGUUUCUUAAGUCUGAUGUGAAAGCCCCCGGCUCAACCGGGGAGGGUCAUUGGGAAACUGGGAAACUUGAGUGCAGAAGAGGAGAGUGGAAUUCCACGUGUAGCGGUGAAAUGCGUAGAGAUGUGGAGGAACACCAGUGGCGAAGGCGACUCUCUGGUCUGUAACUGACGCUGAGGAGCGAAAGCGUGGGGAGCGAACAGGAUUAGAUACCCCAGUAGUCCCUGUCUCUUAUA
rnacentral:rRNA from 1 species